rnacentral:rRNA from 1 species
GCAAGUCGAGCGGACGGAUGGGAGCUUGCUCCCUGAAGUCAGCGGCGGACGGGUGAGUAACACGUGGGCAACCUGCCUGUAAGACUGGGAUAACUCCGGGAAACCGGGGCUAAUACCGGAUAAUUCUUCCCUUCACAUGAGGGGGAGCUGAAAGAUGGUUUCGGCUAUCACUUACAGAUGGGCCCGCGGCGCAUUAGCUAGUUGGUGAGGUAACGGCUCACCAAGGCGACGAUGCGUAGCCGACCUGAGAGGGUGAUCGGCCACACUGGGACUGAGACACGGCCCAGACUCCUACGGGAGGCAGCAGUAGGGAAUCUUCCGCAAUGGACGAAAGUCUGACGGAGCAACGCCGCGUGAGUGAUGAAGGUUUUCGGAUCGUAAAACUCUGUUGUCAGGGAAGAACAAGUGCCGGAGUAACUGCCGGCACCUUGACGGUACCUGGCCAGAAAGCCACGGCUAACUACGUGCCAGCAGCCGCGGUAAUACGUAGGUGGCAAGCGUUGUCCGGAAUUAUUGGGCGUAAAGCGCGCGCAGGCGGUUCCUUAAGUCUGAUGUGAAAGCCCACGGCUCAACCGU